AAGAUGUAGAAGUACUAAGGA
rnacentral:misc_RNA from 1 species